GGAAGAGUAUGCCCGUUGUUACUGCUAGUACCUGUAAAUACUGCAGUUUUCCCAUUCAGAGCUGAAUUGGACUCAGUGUGAUUGGAUGAAUGCAACAUGAAGGCUCUUUGCGCAUCCUCGAUAAGCUGUAAUAUCAAGUUUUUCCUGACUUUUUGGACUAUAAAGGCAAAGGUUGUACAGGUUUGGAGCAACAAGAAGUGAGAGUGAAGGGUGGUGCUGUAUGACGCUGAAGACAGAUUGAGGCUGUGACACCUGUCAGGCACGUCUGCCUGAGCCUGCCCUCAUUCACAGAACACUUCAGAUUA